UACGUAGGGUGCAAGCGUUGUCCGGAAUUAUUGGGCGUAAAGAGCUCGUAGGCGGUCUGUCGCGUCGGCUGUGAAAUCCCGAGGCUCAACCUCGGGUCUGCAGUCGAUACGGGCAAACUAGAGUAUUGCAGGGGAGAUGGAAUUCCUGGUGUAGCGGUGAAAUGCGCAGAUAUCAGGAGGAACACCGGUGGCGAAGGCGGGUCUCUGGGCAAUAACUGACGCUGAGGAGCGAAAGCGUGGGGAGCGAACAGG
rnacentral:rRNA from 1 species